ensembl:lncRNA CELF2-DT CELF2 divergent transript
AAUGCUGGGUCCCGCCCCUUCUUCCGGCUGGGUUCCACUACCUGCAAGGCUGGAACUGACAGCCACUGUGCAAACAAAAAAAGGCAACAAGCAUGCUGGGACCAUUCUGUCUGCUGUUUGGGUCUCACUUGUCCUGACAACUAAAAAUCAUCAGUGGAAAGAGGUUGCAGCAUUUGAAAAUUAUCAAAAAGCAGCAGAGACAAGUUUGGGUGGUUUCCAGGGGAGAGGCACUGAAAGUGAUUGAUUCCUAUCAAAAGCACAAGGACAGGAAGCUAGAGUCAUCCUAACAAGAGUGAUAGUCUUUCCCCAAGUGAGACCAGGCUGUGCUGUCUGGGGAAAAGCAUUGCUGGCCUUGUCGAGAUGCACCGACGACUCAGCUCAGCUAAGGACUUAACCAGUACAGGACUUGCUGCAGCGGAGCCUGAGCUGGAUAUGGAAAGCAAAAGAAGCAAGAUCUCCCUAUGUUGCCAAGGUUGGUCUGGAACUCCUGAGCUCAAGUGAUCCUCCUGCCUCAGCCUCCUAAAGUGUUAGAAUUAUUGAUGUGAGCCACUGCAUGUGGUCAAUUCUGUCAUUCUUGACAACAAGGAUGAAGCUGGGAGAUACUGUGCUGAGUAGAAUAAACCAAGCACAAAAAGACAAGUGCCUCAUGAGCUCACUUAUAUGUAGAAUCUGUAACAGUCGAACUCAUCAGAGAGCAGAAUAAUGGUUACCAGGGACUAGCAGUAGGCUGGAGGGAGAGGUGGGGAGGUGUCGGUGAAAUAAUAUAAAAUUUCAGUUAGAAAAAAUAAGAUUUAAGAGAUCUAUUGCACAACAUGGUGACUAUAGUUAUUAACACUGUAUUAUAUUCUUGAAAAUCACUAAGAUUUUAAUAUUCUCACCACAAAAAAUAAGCAUGUGAGGUAAUGCAUAUGUUAAUGGCUCAAUUUAGCCAUUUCCAAUGAUUAAAUAUUUGAAAGCAGUUAUAUACCAUAAAUGUGUACCUUUUUAAUUAAAAAAAUUAUUUUCUAGCAGGAUGCUCUGAAAUUGGAACUGAAUAUUACUUAAACCUUGAAGUCUGGGAACAGGGACAUAGUGCUUUUCCAAAACUGCCAGAAAGGUGUCUCUUAAUGCUCUAUGGAUAGAAGUGGCCACCUGUCUUACAGGCUGACGCUGGAGCCCAGCAAAAGUUAUUUUGGUAGACCCUUAUUGUUUAGCAAUGCAAAAAGAGAACCUACUUACUUUCUUUGUAUUAACUCUGGAUACUGAUAAACUAAAUAAAAAUACCUUGGCCAGGGA